GACGAACGCUGGCGGCGUGGAUUAGGCAUGCAAGUCGAACGGUAUCAUCCUUUCGGGGGUGAGAGAGUGGCGAACUGGUGAGUAACACGUAGGUUAUCUACCCUCAAGACGGGGACAACCCAGGGAAACUUGGGGCUAAUACCGGAUGUGAGCAACUUUUAGUUGUUUGAAAGGUGGCGUAAGCUGUCGCUUGGGGAUGAGCCUGCGUCCUAUUAGUUAGUUGGUGAGGUAACGGCUCACCUAGGCAAUGAUAGGUAGGCGGCCUUAACGGGUGGUCGCCCACACUGGGAUUGAGAUACGGCCCAGACUCCUACGGGAGGCAGCAGUCGAGAAUAGUCUACAAUGGUCGGAAGACUGAUAGUGCGACGCCGCGUGAACGAUGAAUCCCUUCGGGGUGUAAAGUUCUUUUAUAUGUGAGCAGUGCUUCUUAUAUUAACAGUAUGGGGAGAGAGAUAUUAGCAUAUGAAUAAGCAACGGCUAACUCCGUGCCAGCAGCCGCGGGU
rnacentral:rRNA from 1 species